rnacentral:rRNA from 1 species
CGGGGUGCACCAGGCGCGAAAACUUUACAAUGCGGGAAACCGUGAUAAGGGGACACCGAGUGCCAGCAUCAUAUGCUGGCUGUCCAGAUGUGUAAAAUACAUCUGUUAGCAAGGGCCGGGCAAGACCGGUGCCAGCCGCCGCGGUAACACCGGCGGCCCGAGUGGUGAUCGUGAUUAUUGGGUCUAAAGGGUCCGUAGCCGGUUUGGUCAGUCCUCCGGGAAAUCUGAUAGCUCAACUAUUAGGCUUUCGGGGGAUACUGCCAGACUUGGAACCGGGAGAGGUAAGAGGUACUACAGGGGUAGGAGUGAAAUCUUGUAAUCCCUGUGGGACCACCUGUGGCGAAGGCGUCUUACCAGAACGGGUUCGACGGUGAGGGACGAAAGCUGGGGGCACGAACCGGAUUAGAUACCCGGGUAGUCCCAGCCGUAAACGAUGCUCGCUAGGUGUCAGACAUGGCGCGACCGUGUCUGGUGCCGCAGGGAAGCCGUGAAGCGAGCCACCUGGGAAGUACGGCCGCAAGGCUGAAACUUAAAGGAAUUGGCGGGGGAGCACAAGGGCGAAUCGC